GAUCCUGGCUCAGGAUGAACGCUGGCGGCGUGCCUAACACAUGCAAGUCGAACGGAAAUUACAGAAGGAAGUUUCGGAUGGAAUUUGUAAUUUAGUGGCGGACGGGUGAGUAACACGUGGGUAACCUGCCCUGUACCGGGGGAUAACAGUUGGAAACGGCUGUUAAUACCGCAUAAGCGCACAGUUCCGCAUGGAGCAGUGUGAAAAAACUCCGGUGGUACAGGAUGGACCCGCGUCUGAUUAGCUAGUUGGCGGGGUAACGGCCCACCAAGGCGACGAUCAGUAGCCGGCCUGAGAGGGUGAACGGCCACAUUGGGACUGAGACACGGCCCAGACUCCUACGGGAGGCAGCAGUGGGGAAUAUUGCACAAUGGAGGAAACUCUGAUGCAAGCGACGCCGCGUGAGCGAUGAAGUAUUUCGGUAUGUAAAGCUCUAUCAGCAGGGAAGAUAAUGACGGUACCUGACUAAGAAGCCCCGGCUAACUACGUGCCAGCCGCCGC
rnacentral:rRNA from 1 species